rnacentral:lncRNA from 1 species
UGCAAGGCCCUGGGUUUGAUCCUCAGCACCACAUAAAAAUAAAUAAAAAGAAAGGUAUUGUGUCCAACUACAACUAAAAACUAAAUAUUAAAAAAAAAGAUUAUGUAUAUUGCAGCAAAAGAUUGGAAACAGCAUUACAUUGAUACCUGUGAUAGGGAGCUGAUUAUGAAGCGUGAUUCAUUCACAGUGUUGCAUAUGUCAGUAUUGUUAGAAUAAGGAAGCUCAAUAGAGAAGAUUUCUGCAAUACACAUUGCUCUGCAUCUUAGUUUCUUCAUACAACAGUCUUAUUCACUGCUGUCCAUUGUUGAGAAAAUAUAUAUCUAGGAGUCUAAAAGACACCUAGACUGAAGCUAUGUAACUGGGACAAAUAAUCACCAGUGGACUUUUUCAUACGGAAUGACAGCUCUUGGCAAGUAUCUUAUUUCUCAUACAGCCUAGAAUCAAGGAAGUAGCAUUCUGAUAAACCAUUCAAAAGCCCUGACAGUAGAAAUGAUGAGAACCUGGACUUCAAAUGUACUCACAGUGGUUUUAGAUUUGCCCACAGAAAAGUAAGCAUGUAUUUUAUCCCAAAUUGACUCUAAUGUCUCCUCUUCCUGAUAUUUAGUAUUCUUUUGUGUACCUAUACAAAUGUUAACAUUAGAGUUCUUAUUUUAUAAAGAAAACUGCAUGUCUGAAGUCAUAAGUCAGUAACAGUAAGUUGUACUUUUUUAUAGCCCCUUAGAAAAGGAAGUGUCUUCUAAUCAUUCAUUAUGUUAGUUUGCCCUUUGAAUUGAUUAAAAAUCAGAACUUAUUUGUUUCUGCUUUUGUUCUCUGUAGUUAUGCUUUGUUAAACUUUGAAGUCAUCAUACUAUUUUUCUGAAACUACAUCAGACAUUUUCUUGCAAGACUAGAAGUGUUCAACCUUAAAAACACUUUGGGUACAUACCUAUAAUGCCAGCUACUCAGGAGGCUGAGGCAGGAGGAUGACUUGAGCCAAAGUAUUUCUAGCUUCCCUACCCCAAAUAAAAAGAAGUGUCUUGGUUAUGGAAUAUAAGUUGGCUAUAAAAACAGUGAACUACCGAUGGAACAACUUAGAUGUAUCUUAAGGGCAGUAUGCUGAAUGAAAAAAAAAAAAGCCUGAAAAAAAUCAAUAGUCUACAUAAUUCUGGUUAUAUAAAUAAUAAAAUUAUAGAGAUGAAGGAGAAAUAGUAGUUGCCAGAGGUCAAGGAUGGUAUUGGAGUGGAGUGGGAUAUGACUACUUAAAGGAGUAGCAUGAGAGAGACCAUUAUGUGUAUCUUGAUGACAUUAGUGGUUGCACAAGUCUACACGAAAUAAAAUGACAGAACUACAUAUGGAUUUGGUCUUUUAUAUUGUACUAUAGUUACAUAAGAUGUAACCAUGAAGGAAACGGGGUGAAAGAUACACAGGACCUCUGUAUUUAUAACUUCUUGUGCAUCUAUAAUUAUUCAAAAUAAAAAGUUAAAAUAAAUAUGUGUUCUUCCACUUCCAGGAAUAUGGAGUAGAUGUACUUUCUCUUAUUCCUACUACUAAAUAUAACUGAAACUCUGAAUAUUUUCAAAGUGCUUCAAAUAUGUGUGUGUGUGUGUAUAUGCAUAUUUAUGCUAUGUUUAUAUAUGUAUGUGUAUAUACAUGUAAGUAUGCAAAAUAAAACAACCAUAAGAAACUGAAAGGCAA